GAUGAACGCUGGCGGCGUGCCUAAUACAUGCAAGUCGAGCGAACAGACGAGGAGCUUGCUCCUCUGACGUUAGCGGCGGACGGGUGAGUAACACGUGGAUAACCUACCUAUAAGACUGGGAUAACUUCGGGAAACCGGAGCUAAUACCGGAUAAUAUAUUGAACCGCAUGGUUCAAUAGUGAAAGACGGUUUUGCUGUCACUUAUAGAUGGAUCCGCGCCGCAUUAGCUAGUUGGUAAGGUAACGGCUUACCAAGGCAACGAUGCGUGGCCGACCUGAGAGGGUGAUCGGCCACACUGGAACUGAGACACGGUCCAGACUCCUACGGGAGGCAGCAGUGGGGAAUCUUCCGCAAUGGGCGAAAGCCUGACGGAGCAACGCCGCGUGAGUGAUGAAGGUCUUCGGAUCGUAAAACUCUGUUAUUAGGGAAGAACAAAUCUGUAAGUAACUAUGCACGUCUUGACGGUACCUAAUCAGAAAGCCACGGCUAACUACGUG
rnacentral:rRNA from 1 species